GUCGAGCGGAUGAAGGGAGCUUGCUCCCUGAUUUAGCGGCGGACGGGUGAGUAAUGCCUAGGAAUCUGCCUGGUAGUGGGGGAUAACGUUCCGAAAGGAACGCUAAUACCGCAUACGUCCUACGGGAGAAAGCAGGGGACCUUCGGGCCUUGCGCUAUCAGAUGAGCCUAGGUCGGAUUAGCUAGUUGGUGAGGUAAUGGCUCACCAAGGCGACGAUCCGUAACUGGUCUGAGAGGAUGAUCAGUCACACUGGAACUGAGACACGGUCCAGACUCCUACGGGAGGCAGCAGUGGGGAAUAUUGGACAAUGGGCGAAAGCCUGAUCCAGCCAUGCCGCGUGUGUGAAGAAGGUCUUCGGAUUGUAAAGCACUUUAAGUUGGGAGGAAGGGCAUUAACCUAAUACGUUAGUGUUUUGACGUUACCAACAGAAUAAGCACCGGCUAACUUCGUGCCAGCAGCCGCGGUAAUACGAAGGGUGCAAGCGUUAAUCGGAAUUACUGGGCGUAAAGCGCGCGUAGGUGGUUCGUUAAGUUGGAUGUGAAAGCCCCGGGCUCAACCUGGGAACUGCAUCCAAAACUGGCGAGCUAGAGUACGGUAGAGGGUGGUGGAAUUUCCUGUGUAGCGGUGAAAUGCGUAGAUAUAGGAAGGAACACCAGUGGCGAAGGCGACCACCUGGACUGAUACUGACACUGAGGUGCGAAAGCGUGGGGGAGCAAACAGGAUUAGAUACCCUGGUAGUCCACGCCGUAAACGAUGUCAACUAGCCGUUGGAAUCCUUGAGAUUUUAGUGGCGCAGCUAACGCAUUAAGUUGA
rnacentral:rRNA from 1 species